ACCCGAAAGGUCGAAAGCGGAGAUUCAACCGCGUACCCGUUAGAUCGGCGUCCCGAUCGGCCGGCGACUGACGGGCGCUACGGCGCCCGUCGCGUACGGUCGGAGGCGCGCGGUCGCGGACGCGUGCACUUCUCCGCUAGUAGGACGUCGCGACCCGUCGGGUGCCGGUCCACGGCCCGCUCGUGAGCCCGCGCGGCGGACGGUCUCGGCCGUCUCGCCCGCGCGGAACGACGCGGUGUCCCGGCCGGCCCGCUCGACGGUGUUAAGUGGCGGUGGGCCGCCCAUUCAGUUGGCGUCCGACCCGUCGCAAGCUCGGCGAACCCCCGCGGGCUCGGACCUAGUGCCGACCCCGGGGCCGUCCGGCUGCUGGCGACGGAGUUCUCGGACAGACCCGGAACACGCCCGUCGGCGACGCUAUAGCUUUGGGUACUUUCAGGACCCGUCUUGAAACACGGACCAAGGAGUCUAGCAUGUGCGCGAGUCAUUGGGACACGUUGCUAAACCUAAAGGCGUAAUGAAAGUGAAGGCGCGCCUCGCGCGCGCCGAGGGAGGAUGGGCGAGGCGUUCGCGCGCCGUCGCCCCGCACUCCCGGGGCGUCUCGUUCUCAUCGCGAGAAGAGGCGCACCCAGAGCGUACACGCUGGGACCCGAAAGAUGGUGAACUAUGCCUGGUCAGGACGAAGUCAGGGGAAACCCUGAUGGAGGUCCGUAGCGAUUCUGACGUGCAAAUCGAUCGUCGGAAC
rnacentral:rRNA from 1 species